rnacentral:rRNA from 1 species
GACGAGCGCUGGCGGCGUGCUUAACACAUGCAAGUCGUACGGUAAGGCCCUUUCGGGGGUACACGAGUGGCGAACGGGUGAGUAACACGUGAGUAACCUGCCCACAACUUUGGGAUAACGCUAGGAAACUGGUGCUAAUACUGGAUAUGUGCCCCUGCUGCAUGGUGGGGGUUGGAAAGCUCCGGCGGUUGUGGAUGGACUCGCGGCCUAUCAGCUUGUUGGUGGGGUAGUGGCCUACCAAGGCGGCGACGGGUAGCCGGCCUGAGAGGGUGACCGGCCACAUUGGGACUGAGAUACGGCCCAGACUCCUACGGGAGGCAGCAGUGGGGAAUAUUGCACAAUGGGCGCAAGCCUGAGGCAGCAACGCCGCGUGCGGGAUGACGGCCUUCGGGUUGUAAACCGCUUUCAGCAGGGACGAAGCUUUUUGUGACGGUACCUGCAGAAGAAGCACCGGCUAACUACGUG